AACCUGGUUGAUCCUGCCAGUAGUCAUAUGCUUGUCUAAAGGAUUAAGCCAUGCAUGUCUAAGUAUAGUCCUCACGGACGAAACUGCAGACGGCUCAUUACAACGGUCGCUGGUCACAGGACACGCGGCGGGGCAACUCGCUGUGGAUAACCGCAUUAAAUCGGGGCUAAUACAUACAAAACCGAGUGGACGACUGGGCAACUGGAAGUUCGCGCGAUGGAUUAACCCUUCGACUGACCUCUUGGUUUGGUUGGAACCGAUUCAUGUUGUUAGUCGGCGCUUCGGCGCCGAUUUGUUCUAGACGCGACUGCCCUAUCAGCUUGACGGCAAGGUCUUGGCUUGCCGUGGCUGUAACGGGUAACGGAGAAUUAGGGUUCGAUUCCGGAGAGGACGCCUGAGAAACGGCGUCCACACCUACGGGUGGCAGCAGGCACGUAAAUUUCCCAAUGUCAAUACGAUGAGGGAGCGACAAUAAAUACUUUUAGUCCUGGUCGCAAGAUCAGGACUCAACAAGAUUAAGCACAAAGUAAAUAAAUUAGCCAGUAUUAUUGGAGGGCAAGUCUGGUGCCAGCAGCCGCGGUAAUUCCAGCUCCAACAGUAUAUACUAAAGUUGUUGCAGUUAAAACGUUCGUAGCUUAAAUACAGGUCUGUGUAAUUGCUUGUCACGUCGUUCGCGGCGUGACAAGCGCAGGCGCGGUAGAUUGUCAUGUCUAGUCGGCAACGGCUAGGCGCGGCGUUCAACUGUGCAUAAAUCUUGAUGCUCAAGGUGAGUCCAGGCGUGGACGGGAAAACAGUGCAUGGUAUUGUAGAAGAAGACGUGGCAACGUCUAGGUUGGUUGGUUGUCCAGGUAAUGAUUAAUAGGGAGGAGCGGGGGCUGUCGUAUUGACGGGCGAGAGGUGAAAUUCGUUGACCCUGUCAAGACGCACAACGGCGGAAGCAGCAGCCAAGUGCCUCUCCAUUAGUCAAGAACGAUAGUCUAGGGAUCAAAGACGAUCAGAUACCGUCGUAGUCUAGACCAUAAACUAUGUCGGCUAACACUUGGCGACGUGCUCUCCGAGGCGUCUCCAGGAGUUUGUGGGAAACCAUAAGCUUUUGGACUCUGGGGGGAGUAUGGCCGCAAGACUGAAACUUAAAGGAAUUGACGGAAGGGCACACCAUGGCGUGGAGCCUGCGGCUUAAUUUGACUCAACACGGGAAACCUUACCAAGCUCAGAUAUGUAUAGGAUUGACAGACUAAUAGAUUUUUCAUGAUCGCAUAAGUAGUGGUGCAUGGCCGUUCUUAGUUGGUGGAGUGAUUUGUCAGGUCAAUUCCGGUAACGGACGAGACCUCCAUUUGCUAACUAGUCGCGGCGACGGGUUCGACUGGCGAGGGUCGGACGGCGCGGCUGCCUGGUCGAAAGGCUGGGUAAGUGCGUCGUACGGUUAGUAGCCUGGGCUCGUCUUCGCGGAAUAAAUAAAGUAACUUCUUAGAAAUACUUCCGACACCAAGCCGGAGGAAGUUGGAGGCAAUAACAGGUCUGUGAUGCCCUUAGAUAUCUUGGGCCGCACGCGUGCUACAAUGUAGACGCGAAUAAGCUCUAAAAAUGCGCGGCGCGAAAGCGUCGCGGAAACAGCAAUCGUCUACGUAACAGGGACUGACGGUUGCAAUAACGAUCACGAACGAGGAAUGCCUUGUAGGCGCGAGUCAUCAUCUCGCGCCGAAUCUGUCCCUGCCCUUUGUACACACCGCCCGUCGCUCCUACCGAUCGGACGGCGAGGUGAAGACGACGGACUGUAUCCUUCACGGGACGCGGAAAGUCGUUUAAACCUUGUUGUCUAGAGGAAGGAGAAGUCGUAACAAGGUAUCGGUAGGUGAACCUGCAGAAGGAUCAA
rnacentral:rRNA from 14 species